AUCUCUCAUCACUUGCUGCAUCAACCACUACUAGUGUGGAAGGCAAGCUGCUGAUGAUUGUGUUAGCUGGAGAUUGGCCUUGUCAACCAGGCCCCCUACUUCAAAGGCAGCCUCAAGCAUUGGCACAUAAUUGGAGAAGCAGCAGAUGUUAGAGAAACUGUGAUGUUUCAGCACUGUUUAGCAUAGGCUGUAUUAGCUACCAUACUACCUAAGUGCCUUUCAUGCAGACCUCCAGCUGACUCAGUGCUUGUGUACAGUCAUCACCAACAAAGAUGAUAUGAUGGAUGUGACUUGCAAUAGACUGAACUUCUGAUUCGUUUGUACAGGUUUCUGUGCUUGGCCACGUUACAGUGCCGUCAUCCAGCCUUCAAGCAUGGUUCAGAUCAUCUCUGUAAAGAUGGCUGUGUUGCUUCAGUUGCCACAUCUCUACGUAUGUUCUUCCUGUUAGCAAAGGCACACUGUGACAGCAUCCACUUUCUACAUGCUAAUACAUGCACAGUAUUGUUCAGGGAAAGACAUAUGCAAACCUAUCAGCUUCCAAAGUCGGCAACAUCCUGCUGUCACUACAGUCUCAGCACCUACCAGCUCCCACUCUGUCAGCAACAUCCUGCUGUCACAUGUCCAGCUACCGGUACUUGAAGUUACUGUGUGCUUGUACAUUCUCAGCACCUACUAGCUCUCACUCUGUCAGCAACAUCCUGCUGUCACAUGUCCAGCUAUUGGUACUCGGAGUUACUAUUUGCUUAUACUUUCUCAGCACCUACCAGCUCCCACUCUGUCAGCAACAUCCUGUCCAGCUACCGGCACUUGGAGUUAUAGUGUGCUUGUACAUUCUCAGCACCUACUAGCUCCCACUCUGUCAACAACAUCCUGCUGUCACACCUCCAGAUAUGUGGAGUUAUUGUGCUUUUACAGUCUCAGCCAGUAUUGGAUUGCAAGUUGUCUUAUGCUGCUACAACCUACACAUUUAGCAUUCUCUUGAACCUUGAGGAACCACCAUAUGAACAAAGAGACAGUCUCUGAAACACUCAUAAUAAACCUGUCACGGUGGUUUGUUGAACAUUC